CUUUUUUAACCAAAAAACAAAAGUCCUACUUUACCUUCUUCAUGAAUAGCCGCCAUAAAUUUCUAGGGUUCAUCGUUAACUGCAAACUCUGAAUGUCAACCAACAAUAGAGGUUCUGAAAGAUUGUAUGAGGAGGUUGAUCUCCACCUAUAAAAAGGUCAGGCUUCAUCCUUUGAACAUCAUCUUUUGUUAUCUGAUAAUCUUGGUUAGUUAGUGGGUUCAGAUGGCUGGUGCGUUCAGCUGUCGAUCUCCUUGCAAAAAGGUGGAGAUGAGAUGUGUCUGUGCUCUUAAUUAUAUAGUAGCUGUGAAUUUAUUGUUUAUCUAAGGUUCUAGGAAAAACGAUUGCAUUUUCCAGAUUUCGUAUAGUUAGAAUAUUUCCUCGGAAGAUGUGCCAGGUCCAUAAAAGUCUAUGUUAGGCUGUCCGGUUUUGGGUUGAGGCCUUGAAAGACAGCCAAGAAGAAUUCAAGAGAAUCAUCAGAGCGAUCAGUGUUUGAAACAAAAUUUACACAAACAGAUGAGCAAUCUAUUUACUCAGGUAUCUAACAUUAUCAAAACCUCUAAACCUUUCUGCAUCUCACUUCUAAAGUUACAAUCCAGAAAUAUCUGAUCAAGCUAUUGAAUCCAUUUGUUAGUUGAACAUCUGAAAGCUCAAGAUUUGUUAUAAAACUCUAAAACCUUGCAAAGAUUAAAAACAUACAUAUAAUUGGGUGAACAAAACUUAGGUUCACCCCCUAAGGUGAACAUCUACAUUCACCCACCAAUAGGAAUUAGUUAAGCAAUUAGUUAAUUUAGAUUUAAUAUCUAUUAAAACAUGAAUUUAAUGAAAUAAAAUUAUGUUUUUAGAUAAAUAAAAAAUAGUAGCAAUUAUAAAAAAAUAUUUUUUUUAGUAUUGAUAAAUCCGUCAAAAAAUACUAAACCCUAAAUUCUAAAUAGUAAACCCUAAACCCUUGGAGAAAGCCUGAACCCUUGGGCAAAUCCUAUACCCUAAAUCGUUAAUUUUAAACCCUAAACACUUAAUCAUAAACCAUAA